AGCAGCAUGGUGUAGUGGUUUGAGCAUUAGACUAUAACUCUGGAGACCAGGGUUUGAAUCCCAGCUCAACCA
rnacentral:tRNA from 1 species